CCCUUAGAUGUUCUGGGCCGCACGCGCGCUACACUGAAGGAAUCAGCACGUCUUUCUCCUUGUCCGAAAGGACUGGGUAACCCGCUGAACCUCCUUCGUGCUAGGGAUUGGGGCUUGUAAUUCUUCCCCAUGAACGAGGAAUUCCCAGUAAGCGCGAGUCAUAAGCUCGCGUUGAUUACGUCCCUGCCCUUUGUACACACCGCCCGUCGCUACUACCGAUUGGAUGGUUUAGUGAGAUCCUCGGAUUGGUCCCGGCGCGGCCUCUGGUCGUGCCGGAGUGCCGAAAAGAAUGUCGAACUUGAUCAUCUAGAGGAAGUAAAAGUCGUAACA
rnacentral:rRNA from 1 species